UACGUAGGGUCCGAGCGUUGUCCGGAAUUACUGGGCGUAAAGCGCGCGCAGGCGGCUUCCCAAGCGCCACGUGAAAGCCCCGGGCUCAACCCGGGAGGGUCACGGCGAACUGGGAGGCUUGAGGCCGGUAGAGGUGGGUGGAACUGCGAGUGUAGAGGUGAAAUUCGUAGAUAUUCGCAAGAACACCAGUGGCGAAGGCGGCUCACUGGCCCGGUACUGACGCUGAGGUGCGAAAGCGUGGGGAGCAAACAGG
rnacentral:rRNA from 1 species